GCCUACUGUUUAAUUUUGAGGGUUCGUUUUUACGAAUACUCAAAAGUAGCACUUUAAGCAACGUGAUUUAUCCGUUGGCGCUGUGCAUUAGCACUUUAAGCAACGGAAUUUAUUCGUUGGCGCUGUGCUUUAGCACUUUGAAAACUGCAUAUAUAUAUUUAGUGAUAUGACAUCUAAUUUGUAAUAUAUAAAGCUGAUAACUUUUUAAAAUUAUCGAAGUUGAUAGCUUCUAAUCUAUCAAACCUUUUUAACUGGUCAA
rnacentral:misc_RNA from 1 species